rfam:Alligator mississippiensis ScZkoYb_9, whole genome shotgun sequence.
CCCCUUCCCUGGCAAGGGAAAUACCAUGACCAAGUAGGUGGUUUUCCAGGGUGAGGCUUGGCUCUGCUGACCCCUGCAAUUUCCACAAAUGCGGGAAACUUGACUGCAUGAUUUGUGGUAGUGGGGGACUGUGUUCACUCUCUCCUCUG